GACGAACGCUGGCGGCGUGCUUAACACAUGCAAGUCGAACGGAAAGGCCUCUUUCGGGGGGUACUCGAGUGGCGAACGGGUGAGUAACACGUGAGUAACCUGCCCUUGACUUUGGGAUAACUUCAGGAAACUGGGGCUAAUACCGGAUAGGAGCUCCUGCUGCAUGGUGGGGGUUGGAAAGUUUCGGCGGUUGGGGAUGGACUCGCGGCUUAUCAGCUUGUUGGUGGGGUAGUGGCUUACCAAGGCGUUGACGGGUAGCCGGCCUGAGAGGGUGACCGGCCACCUUGGGACUUAGUUGCGCCCCGGCCUCCUACGGGCGGCAGAAGUGGGGAAUGUUGCCCACUGGGUGGAGGCCUGAUGCAGCAACGCCGUGCGCGGGAUGACGUGCUUGGGGUUGGAAGCCGAUUUCGCUCAUGACGAGUCUUUGUGGGACGGUAGGGUAAAAAGAAGCACCGGCUAACUACGUG
rnacentral:rRNA from 1 species